AUUGAACGCUGGCGGCAUGCUUUACACAUGCAAGUCGAACGGCAGCGCGGGCUUCGGCCUGGCGGCGAGUGGCGAACGGGUGAGUAAUGCAUCGGAACGUGCCCAGUAGUGGGGGAUAGCCCGGCGAAAGCCGGAUUAAUACCGCAUACGACCUGAGGGUGAAAGCGGGGGACCGAAAGGCCUCGCGCUAUUGGAGCGGCCGAUGUCGGAUUAGCUAGUUGGUGGGGUAAAGGCUUACCAAGGCGACGAUCCGUAGCUGGUCUGAGAAGACGACCAGCCACACUGGGACUGAGACACGGCCCAGACUCCUACGGGAGGCAGUAGUGGGGAAUUUUGGACAAUGGGGGCAACCCUGAUCCAGCCAUGCCGCGUGCGGGAAGAAGGCCUUCGGGUUGUAAACCGCUUUUGUUCGGGAAGAAAUCCUCUGGGCUAAUACCCCGGGGGGAUGACGGUACCGGAAGAAUAAGCACCGGCUAACUACGUG
rnacentral:rRNA from 1 species